ACGCCGAAAAGCAAGGAAAACCCAAAUAUGUUAAAUUGAAUGUGUUCCCCAACAACGAAAACCCUAACACGCGUUGCCACCACCGUCAAAUCCAAAAACGACGAUCUGUGCUCUGCUUCGGCAACGUUCUGCACCAGCGACUGCUCCGGUAAUGAUCUGCUCCAGCGAAUGCUCCGGCGACGAUUUUCUUGGCGUUCUCCUCCGACGAGAUUGUGUGUUGUGAACUGAAACGCUGUCUCCAGUGACGAUCUCCUCUGGCGGCGCGUUCUCCUCCUUUAGCGAGCUUCUAUGAUUUGGAUUUGAUAUGAAGAUUGCCGCUCAUCUCAUCGCCGUCAUUCAUCUCUGCGCCAUCGCAAGCAACACCGUUUUCAAUCUGGCUCAUCUCCUCGACGUGGCAAGCAACGCCGUUGUUGCUGCCUUCAGCAAGCUUCUACAGUUUGGUUUCGCGAUCUCUAUCACUUUUAAUAGAUUCUGGUCCCUAGGAUUGAAACCAUGACAGAGCAACAAAGGUGUGCCAGGUGUGGAGUACAUUAUUUCUGAUAGGAUCUUUGAAGAUCUGCCUGACGAGGAGAAGAAGCUUUGGCACUCUUAUGCUUAUGAGGUCAAGUUGGGUCUAUUAAUAAGCCCAAGAGUUCCAGAGAUGAUUGCCAUGCCUGAGCUUGAAAACCUUGCUAAAUCCUAUGGAAAAUUCUGGUGUACUUGGCAGGCCGACAGAGGUUAACAAUCUUUGUGUUAUUAUAUUGUAGGAGUUUAAUUAAGCUUAGUUUUGUGUGUUAUUAUUGGUGCAGGAGAUAGGGUUCCACUGGGUGCACCAGCACUAAUGAUAUCACCACAACCACAAGGGGUGAAGCCUAGGCUGGUGAGGCCAGAUCUGGUGCAUCAGAGGGAUGCAAAGUAUCAUGUUUCCUCAGACAGCUAUAAGACCUUAGUUAAGCGCGUUGCACUUUCAAAUAUUAUGGUGCUAAACAUUUAAUUUAUAUGUAUUUCUUACACAUGAUAAUGCUUUCUCUGUUUCCAUGUUAGAUAUAUCUUAAGUACAAGACACCAACACAUUUUGUUCUGAUUCUGAAUACUGGACAUAUCACACAAUUAACCUAAACACUUAUCAAACUUUGACCAGUCAUUAUCCUUUUGCUUAGUUCUCAUUCUGUUAAUGUGUUUGAAGAAUACAACCUUGUACUAGUGUGAUGCUCAUAGAGAAAGAGAGAGAGAAAGAAAAAAGAAAAAGAAAAUUAUGAGAGAUAGAGCAUUGAAGAGUUGUUGGCAUUUGGGGAGGAUGCAGUCCUCAUUAACGCCAUCACUGGUCAACCUCUUCUAACUAACUAAUGGGGUCUUACCCUCCACUCUCUCCACCAUGGCGCUUCUUAUUAUCUGCUUCUACAUACCCUCCCUCACGCACCUUAUUAGUAACAAAUCACUCCUCAUUUUCCUUCAUUCCCAUUUCUCAUCACUUACCUUGAUUAUUUAUUACUCACACUUUUCAUUUUUUAUUUUUUUUGUGUUUGUCUCUUUUGCAGAUUUAGCAAGGUAGACAAGUGUUGAAGGAAAGGACUUUUAAGCAUCUACUAUAUAUAGGAUCGAUGGAGGGGAUUUAGAUCUAUCUAUGGCGUUGUAUGUUUGAGUUUAGAGUUUCUUCUAUCACUUUCCUACUAUUAUAUUAUAAAAGAUAUAUCUUUAAUUAAUUAUCUACUUAUUACUUGUCUACUUUGUGUUUAAGUAUUAGCAUUAGGGUUAUAUGAAUAUGAGUUCUUUUAAUUUCGCCAAUUUACUUCUACCAUGUAAUCUUCUUAGCCACCCUAUAUUAGUCCAAUGAAAACUUUCUUAGCUUCUUGCUAUGGUCGUAUAUAUGGCUUUAAUUUGUGCCUCUCAUCGUUCUUAUUAUUAUUCCCAAGGAAAAAUGAGUUAUUGUAUUAGGAGAAGUUAUAUAUAGAAAUCUAUAUAAUGCAUUUUAAUUAAUUUUACUUUUUCUUAAUGCUACUCGUGAUAAAAUGAUCAUAAGAGAUAAGAUAAAACGUGGAUUAUAUAACAAAUGAGAGUUUACACUCCAUUUUAUAAUGUGAUCUUUUGUUUAUAAUAUGUUAGUUUAAUUAUAUCAAUUUAGCAGGUUUCAGAAAAAGUUGUAUUAAGUACAAUAGAUAUUGAAGUAUGCUUAUACUAUAAAUUAGAUGAAUGAAUCUUCUAAAUAAUUUUUAAAUUUGGUACUUUCAACUCUUGAGUGGAAGAUGAAUCCACCAAAAUGCCUCUCUUUCAUUGAUUACAUCACAAGAAGACUUAAAAUGUUUUCAGUUCUUCAACACAUGUCAAUCUCUUCUUCUUUCUCUCUUAUUAGGUAAUAAUUAAUCUCUUUCUUUAACUUCUAUAUAUACAUUUCUUCAACUUCAGUUAUUUAUUUAUUUAUUUAUUUUUAAUGCAGAUUCCAGGUUUAUUGGUUAUUGUGAUUCUAGAUCAUUAUCUUCCUAAGAGUCUCUAGCAGGGAUCAAUUUACAUUUGACAGAGGCACAGAAUACUGGAGGAUUUUGUUUUUCUUUGGGAAAGGGCAUGUACCGUGUGCUUUAUAUUCCUGAAGAUGAAGCUGUUCUCUUGAAUUCUAGGGAGAAGGCGCCUUACAUGAUCUGUGUUGAAGUAUUGAGAUGUGACAUGAUAAGGUUAGGGACUUAAGCUCUCAUCUGAAUACUCUAGCAGAGUCAGAAACAGAGGGUGUCCAAGGAGCUGCUGCGGUUUUUAAUCAGGCCCCGCUUUAUAAACAUAAACACAAAUAUGAAGGCUAUGCUAUAGACUGGAGUCUUCUUGUUCUCGGAGCCAGAAGACUUGUAUCUGGAGUCUGAAAGGGCUGUGAGCAGAGAAGAGGGUUUAGCUCUCGCCAAAGAGUUGGGGUGUUUGCUUCUCAAAAGUAAUGCUAAAACUCGAGAAAAUGUGGAGCAGUGCUUUGAGGAACUUGCUCUAAAGGAAUUGAAUCAAGAGAGUGAGAUUUCAUCGCCAAAAUAGUUAGAAAGUAGGUCUUCUGGAGCAAGCAAUAGAGCAGCAUGAAAUAUGAUGGAGAUUUUAUGUAUUAAGUGUUACAUGUUAUGACAUUUAUAGUUGAAAAAUUAUGUUAUGUUUGAUACUUUGUAUAGGAGUUAUUAUUUUUUA